rnacentral:ncRNA from 2 species
GGUCAUGAGCGUCAGCGACAAGCCCUGGCUAGCUGACCGGCAACCCUCGCUCCGCGGUGGGGUGCCCCAGGUGACGACCGGACCGACGACAUAUCGGUAAGCGCGAGGG